CUCCAGACUCCUACGGGAGGCAGCAGUGGGGAAUAUUGCACAAUGGGGGAAACCCUGAUGCAGCGACGCCGCGUGAGCGAUGAAGUAUUUCGGUAUGUAAAGCUCUAUCAGCAGGGAAGAAGAUGACGGUACCUGACUAAGAAGCCCCGGCUAACUACGUGCCAGCAGCCGCGGUAAUACGUAGGGGGCAAGCGUUAUCCGGAUUUACUGGGUGUAAAGGGAGCGUAGACGGCGAUGCAAGCCAGAUGUGAAAGCCCGGGGCUCAACCCCGGGACUGCAUUUGGAACUGUGUGGCUGGAGUGUCGGAGAGGCAGGCGGAAUUCCUAGUGUAGCGGUGAAAUGCGUAGAUAUUAGGAGGAACACCGGCGGCGAAGGCGGCCUGCUGGACCGUAACUGACGUUGAGGCUCGAAAGCGUGGGGAGCAAACAGGAUUAGAUACCCGCGUA
rnacentral:rRNA from 1 species